AUGCAAAAUAACGAUAAUACUGAAAACAUUAACUCAAAGAAAGGCUGGGUAAAUGAUCUUAAAGGGACCUAUGCUAGUUUUGUAAAUUCUGGUGCAAAAGGAUUUUCAUAUUUUAACACGUCAUCUGUGAAUGAAAAAAAAGCUGAACAAAAUGAUGAGAAUAUUGGUGCAGAUAGUAAUACCGAAAUAAAUAUUUUAAAAAGAAUCAGCGAAGAAUGUAACACAAUGGUUGAUAAUAUGGAUAUAAUAGAAAAAAAAAAAGUAUUAUUUGAUUCUUAUAAAAAAUACUAUUUUAUAGAAAUGACGAAAUACCAUAAAAGUAGAGAGAAUUGUACUAAUAAUUUCAUAAAUUUUCUUGAAAGACUAAUUAAGCAAAUGUUAAAAGAGUUAAAAAAUGGAAAUGAUAAUAUAAAUCAUUUGACAAAACUUUUUAAAGAAAUUACAAAAAAUGAUACAACUUAUUAUAAAACCUCAUUAUCAGGAACUGGAAAAAUAAAUAAUCUAACUCAUAACUUCGUACAUUUAAACAAUGAUGAACAAACAAGUAGUCAACUAUGUACAAAUAAUACGAAUACAAAUGAAAAUAAUGUUAUUAAAUGUAAGAGUGAAAUUAUAGACUCGAGAAAUAACAAAAAAACAAUGGUUCCCACUAAAUCGGUAAUGUUUGGAAGAUUUUCAGUUAAUAAUGAGAUUACUCAGGAAGAGGGGAUGAUGGGCUAUAAAGAAUCAAUAGAUGACGAAUAUGAUCAAAGGCGAGAACAAGAUUACAUGUCCGAAGUAAAUGAUGAUUCUACAUCUUGUAACAACCUACUACAUGAAACAAGCGUAAGAAACAGUGCUGAUGUUAUGAAUAGUAACAAUACCAACGAAAUGAGUAUUAGGGAAUAUAUAAAUAAUACUACAUUUUUAAAAAACAAUAGCAUGAAUAAGAAUGUUAGUAAAAUACAUAACAUUGCAGAUAACGUUUUGGACAUAAAUUCGAACAUGUGUAUUUUAAAUCAUAAUAUAAUACAAGAUUGGAUAGAAUAUGGCUAUAUAAAUUAUAAAAAAUUGAUGUAUACUAUGAAAGAAAAUAGCAAUUUUGUUGAUACUAAAAUAUAUCAAGGAAUGUUAAAUAUAUUAAAAGAAAGCUAUUUAAAAGAGCAAGAAAAUUUAAUAGAAAAAAUAAAAAAAAAGAAAUGUGAUUUAUUUAAGCAAUUCGAUCUUAGUAAAUUAUAUUGGAAACAUUUUGAAAAUAGUUAUUCAAACUCAGAACGAAUUAGAUCAAAUGGAAUAAAAGAUUCAAAAAAAAUAAAAUGUUCCUGGUUGUGCCAAAGAAAAUAUUUAAAAAAUGUUAAAGAUUUAUUAAAAAUACAAAAUGAAUAUUUAGACACUAUCUACACUUGUGUUAAAUUUUUUUUUCAAUUAAUAGAAUGGAAAAAAAAUACCAUUAAAGAUAUAUUAUCAUCUUAUAUACAUUUAUAUAAAGGGUUUUUAAAUUUGUAUUUGAAUAAUAUAAAUAUAUUAUAUGAUUUUAUAUUACAAGAAAAAAAUAUAAAUCCAUCACAUUUUGAUAAUUUACAUAAUAUAUCUAUGAUUAAUGUGGAUGACAUAAUAAAAACGGUUACUCCCUUUUCUUUUAAUGAGUAUAAUACAAACAUACCUAACUUAAACAACUCAUUAAACAUUAUUAACAAUUUUGUUAUAUUUUAUAAUAACGAAAUUAAUAUAAAAUCAAUCUUAUGCUUAUUUUGUGCCCACAUUAAAGGAUACUUUACGAGUGUAGGUUUUUUUAAUAAAUACAUGGAAGGGAUAUUUGUUAUAACAUGGGAUAAGUUUGUUCAUUUUUUUGCGGAUGCUGAGGAUGUAACGCCACAGUGGUCUUACUAUAUGGAAGAUAUAGAAUUUAAAAUUUUAAAAAAUAAAAAUGAUAAUACUAAAAAAAGUGGAAAACAAAAUGAACUCCACAAUAAUUAUCCAGAAAGUGAACCAAAUGGGGCACAAAAUGGUAACUCUUACGUUAGCCCAAAUAGUACACAACAGGAAAAUGAGGAUAAAACAGUAUCAUCUACUAUUCUCAAUGAUAAAAAAGCAAACAUAAACAAAGAGGCUGUUAAAAAUGAUGCUACUAGUGAGGAACGAAUUGAUGAUCAUCAGUCUGACAUUAACAAACAGAAUAAUAUGAACAAUGAUUAUAAGAAAGACAACGAUAACAUAAAUAAAUCUCAAAAUAAAAAAGAAGAGUUAUUAGAAUGUACAGAUAAACAACAACAAAAAGACGAAAAUAACACAAACAGUAAAAAAGAAAAUAAUCCUGAUUCUACUCAAUUUUGUCAGUUGAAUAAACAAAAUAAUGAUACGAUAGAAAUACAAAUGAAAGAAAAGAAAAAAACAUUAUUAAUUAGUGGUUGGUCAUUUACGUUCAAAUGUGAUAAUACAUUUUUAACUAAUUUAUGCUAUGAGUUAUUAAAUUAUCAUUUAUAUUCAUCUUAUUUUGUUGACGAAAAUUCGUUUGUUAAUUUUAGUAACAUUAUAUCUAAUGGUCAGGUGAAAAAUGACUUAGAGUGUACUGAACAAAUAGUUAACACGUACGACAAAACAUCAGGCCCAAACGUAUACACAAAUUUGAACCCUAGUCUGAACCCUAAUUUGAACCCUAAUUUGAACCCUAGUCUGAAUCCUAAUUUGAACNNNNNNNNNNUGAACCCUAAUUUGAACCCUAAUUUGAACCCUAAUUUGAACCCUAAUGCUGAUUCAGUCUAUCUGAAAAAAAAUAUAAUUAAUUUCGAAAAUAACUUAGAACAAAAUACUAAUAAAAAGUAUGAAAAUUCAUGUACCUCUACAUACGAACAAAAUGUGCAUUAUGAUAAUACCUCAAACGAAAAAACAGUAGAUGUGGGUUAUGAAGAUUUAUUAAAUAAUUUUAAUCAAAAAAAAAAUAUAUUAAUAAAAAAUAUGAAGGAAAGACAAAUGCAUUCAAAAUCAAGUGAGUGUAGUUUGAGCGAAGAAAAUGUGGUUGCAAUUUUGAAAGAGCAAAAAAAAAGUUUAGGAGAAAGUGAAAAUGAAAAUAGCAUUAAAGAAGACAUCAUAGAAGAAAGUGAAGAACAAAGUGAAGAACAAAGUGAAGAAGAAAGUGAAGAACAAAGUGAAGACCAAAGUGAAGAAGAAAGUGAAGAAGAAAGUGAAGAAGAAAGUGAUGAAAAAAGUGAAGAAUAUAGCGAAAAACAUACAGAUGGUAGUAUAUAA
ensembl:lncRNA